AUACGGAGGAUGCAAGCGUUAUCCGGAUUCAUUGGGUUUAAAGGGUGCGUAGGCGGCUUUUUUAAGUCAGUGGUGAAAUCUUGCCGCUUAACGGUAAAAUUGCCAUUGAUACUGAUAAGCUUGAGUACAAUUGAGGUAAGCGGAAUGUGUAGUGUAGCGGUGAAAUGCUUAGAUAUUACACAGAACACCGAUUGCGAAGGCAGCUUACUAAACUGUUACUGACGCUGAUGCACGAAAGCGUGGGGAGC
rnacentral:rRNA from 1 species